CAUCUCAUUCCUGAGGUAUCCUGAGCCCCUCAGUGCCAUACUUCUGCGUGAGUGCUGUGAACUGGAGCAAAUGGGUUGAAAAUGGCCAGAAGUUGCUCUUGGUCUCUUUAGAUCUUUUAUGACAAAGAAAAAAAUUGAAUUUCUGAACAGUUAAAAUCCACUUGAGCCAGUUUAAGCUAAUUAUGCAGAACUGGAGCCUGAGGUCGGUAAAUCCAGGAAGAUGGCUGAAUACUAUGCUGACUCAAGUACAGACAAGGAGCCAGCUUUCUUGGAUUCCAGCUUCACUUCUUCCUUGACUUCACCCUGGCCUGUGGUGACUGGAUGCUUUGUGAUAUGAUGAGAAAACCGAGGCUCCAAGAGCUUCUGUGACUUGUCCAAGACCAUGCAGUUAAACAUUGUCUUCUAUAGACACUUGGAAGGGCACAACUGUAAGAAGACAUGGAGACCUCCCCAUUAAAGAUCAGGAAAGUGUGGUCAAGAGAGAGGUUCACAGUGAGGCAAAAAAUCAGUUGUAGAAGCACUUCAGGGAAUUCGGAUACUAUUUUGUGGCCAGGCAAGAUCAGCAGCCUUACUAUCUUAGUCCCUGCCAGUCAUCAGUUCUGGUUUCCCUGUUAUCCUGCUGCUCCCUAGAAUGCAGCUAUCAAGUGGCCUAAGAGCCAGCACCUUCAUGGAGUAGCAAAGAUGAAAGUCCAUUUGAGGACAGAGUGAGAAGACGAUGGUUAUCCACAAGCCAGAAAAAGAAGCCUCACCAGAAAUCCUGAUACCCUGAGUUUGGGUUUUCAGCUCCUACAACUGGCAGACAAUGAAUAUCUUCUUUACAGUCUAUGAUAUCUUGUUUGGUAGACCAAGGAGACUAAUCUAUUACUUAAUAUUGGGAACAUUACUUAGAAGCAAAUGAUCUUCGAAAAUGGUAAAGUUAUUUAUGUUUGCUAUUUUCAUUCUUCCUUUCCUCUGUUGAGCCAUUUAAAACAAUGAUACUGGCACUCAUUUCUCUUUAACCUUCAGUAUUUGAUUUCUAACACUAUGGCUAAGGUCUGACAAACACUGUCUUGAUAAUACACUACAGAGCAUUAGAGACAAUCCCAGAUUUCCAUCCAAAGAGAGUAUUCUAAGCUUGUGUCGUGGCAAUGGAGCACUCUGACCUGUGAAGCAUCAUUGUUUGAAGGCUUUAUUUGUGAUCCUCUUUAGAUCAGAGUUUGGAAGUGAGUUACAGACUAGAUCAUAUCUCCUCAUUCUCUCCAUUUGAUCUUUCUUCCCUCAUUAAUUCCAAAGUAUGCAAGCUAUAUGCUUUUUAGUGUUUUUCCCCCUUCACAGCCAUUGUCUAGGCACCAAAAACAGGGAUGGAAAGAGACAGGUUUAAUCCAAAGCACCAGUUUCCAUUACCUUAAGCUUCCUCAAUGAUUUUUCUGAUGAGAUGAAAUUUCUUAUACUUGGUCUCAGGCCCAAGGUAUAUGCAAUACGUCAAUGAAAUUGAUUGCGACACAUUGAAGUGAGUGCCCGGGAACUAUGAAUUCCUUAAGUAUUAAAAAAAAAAAAAAGGACUCAGAACUUCUUGUAUAGGCACUGAAUACAGAGUUUUCACUUGCUAGAAAGAUCUACCCUGAUGUUGAAAGUGUUUUGUUCUGUGACAAAAGUGUAAAUUCCACAAGCUUCAUGUGAAAUCCUUCACAUUAUGGUGCUGCCUUCCCUCUCCAUUCUAAUCUCCUGUUGUUCUGUCUACUUCAGUUGACUUCCAUAUUUGUUUCUUUACAGUGGAGUUGUUGACCACAUAGUAGUCCUUGGGGCUAGAAAGACAACUCUAUCCACAGGCCCUUCUUCCACACAGGCCAGAAUGCUUGGGCUCACAGGGGAACCUUCCAAAAUGUCUCAUGUGGCUAAUGGCACUAUAGAAGCUUGUUUCUCAUAGAGAAGUCCCACAUGAGGAAUUCCAUUUGUGAUAGCCUCAUAGAAGGGAUAAGGACCAGGGAACAGCCUUUUGCCAUGUACAGUAUUAAGUCUUGUUUUUUAGCUCUCUUGUGUUGGGUUUGUGCAAUUACCUUUAUGGAGCAUACACAGGUAAUAAUACAACUUUUCUACUUCAACAUAGGGAAGAGUUUAGCAAACUCACAUUGAGAUACAAGCAACAAUGAAUUUUCUCUCAGCAGUGAAUAUUUGUUCCUGAGGAAGAUGUUUGGUUUCCAUUUUAAGAAGUCCAGAAAGCUAUGGAAAGUGCUGACAGUCCAGAACACACACAUUCAAAGGUCUCACCUUUCAUCAUCUGGGAAUAAUAGGUGCUCAAGUUCUACCUAUUUUCCUUGAUGUCCCAAGGAAGAUCCUUGCUGCAACAGAGAUGUGGAUGUCCUGGCUGAGACAAGAGAAAUGUGUUGAAGAAUGUGGGCCAAGGGCUGCUGCAUAUCAAGGGGAUGUGAGAUCAUGGCUAGUUUGACUUUGGCUCUUUAGUACUGUGCCCUAUUGAUAGUUGGGCCUGGGCCUCCAGGGGUCUCCAAAGCAAAGGAUAGGGAUGAGAUACAUGAUGAAGGGGAAGAAAAGCUGCUUCCCAAAGGGAUGCUUGUUGUUUGGAGAUGGGAUGUUUGUUAAGGUCAAGAUAAGAUCCCCAGAAUCAAGGCCUAGAUCUGCCCUUGACUUCAUGUAUGACCUUGGGUAAGCCAUUUCUAGGUUUUGAAUCUCAGUUUCUUUACAUCUUUAAAAAAUGGGUUGGAGGCCAGAUCUGGUGGUUCAUACCCUUAAUCGUAACACUCAGUAGGCAGAGGCAGGUGUCAGUUGAGGCUAGUCUAUAUAGUGAGUUUUCA